GUCGUUGUAGUAUAGUGGUGAGUAUCCCCGCCUGUCACGCGAGAGACCCAGGUUCGAUCCCUGGCAAUGGUG
rfam:Ipomoea nil DNA, scaffold: scaffold2701, cultivar: Tokyo-kokei standard.